AGCUUUGCACAGUGGCAGUAUUGUAGCCAAUGAGGUUUAUCCGAGGUGUGAUUAUUGCUAAUAACACAUAUAACAUACUGUUUACAUAAUCAGUAAACAGUAUGCUAUCAGUAGUUACGUUUUGGAGGAUCAUAAUUUAU